GACGAACGCUGGCGGCGUGCUUAACACAUGCAAGUCGAACGGAAAGGCCCUGCUUGCAGGGUGCUCGAGUGGCGAACGGGUGAGUAACACGUGGGUGAUCUGCCCCUUACUUUGGGAUAAGCCUGGGAAACUGGGUCUACUACUGGAUAGGACCAUGCUGUAGGUGGUGUGGUGGAAAGAUUAGUUUCGGUAAGGGAUGAGCUCGCGGCCUAUCAUCUUGUUGGUGGGGUAAUGGCCUACCAAGGCGUCGACGGGUAGCCGGCCUGAGAGGGUGGACGGCAACAUUGGGACGGAGAUACGGCCCAGACACCUACGGGAGGCAGCAGUGGGGAGUAAUGCACAAUGGGAGCAAGCCUGAUGCAGCGACGCCGCGUGGGAGAUGACGGCCUUCGGGUUGUAAACUCCUUUCAGCCAUGACGAAGCCCUUGUGGUGACGGUAGUGGUAGAAGAAGCACCGGCUAACUACGUG
rnacentral:rRNA from 1 species